rnacentral:misc_RNA from 1 species
GAAGAUGUAUUUCGAAUGUUCCUCGAGUAUCAUGUUAUCUUUGUUUAACAUUCUAUUUUCUAAGAUGGAGUGAUACGUCUGAGUGAAACCGGAAACACAGGCAAUAGGAAUAAGAAAUUUUAACCUAUCAGAAAUCCAUUCUAAUAUGCAUGGUCUCUAAUAGGUCAAAAUUUGUUAUUUCCUGUUCCUAUAUUGUCUAUAUUUUUCAUUGUGUUUUCGGCUUGACACUCGGGUGGGAAUCUGAACCCACGAUGCAUGUCUGAACAACACGAGAGAAUUCGUCGCAAGAUCACGUGUGGCACGUGCAAUGAUUACGCGCGCCACAAAUUAAUAAUUUCAAGCUCGUUCACGCGUCAUGUGAAUGUGGAGUACUCGUGAUGGUGGGCGAGCGCGGUCUUAGAUGGGAAAAACCGUCAUACGGCUUUUACAUGGAGGGGGAUGGUCGCGAAGAAAGGAGUGUAGAUCCGUCGUGUACAGCGGAUCUGGAAAUGCAGGGACACAUCGCCGGUUCUCAGUCACAGUAUCGCGUCCUCUCAGUCCGCCUCGACGACAUCGACGCUGUUGACUGCGUUCCUCUUCCGUUUCUUUUCUUCCGUAAUUUCAUCCGGUCCGCGAAAAGAAGAAGAUAAGAAGAUAUAUGUGGGUUCUAGAUUUCGAUUAUUUUGAUCAAGAAAAUUUUUUCGUGCAGUUAUCGCAAUGGAGACUGAAUGUAUGUAAAGGCGAAUUUUGCUUGAGAAGUAAAAGAACGUUUUGACACGGCGAUCGCUGCAAAAAAAAAACAACGAAGAGGAAAUUCGAAGAACGUAUAUUGCAACCUCAUGAAGCACCACCAUGACCACGAUUUUGCGAACAUGUCUUUGCUUCAUUCUUUUGACGGCGUCGGCGCUGUGUUUAACGACGGACGAAAUUGAGGCCCAGAGAAGCGGCUGGAAUUUAAAUCCCAAUACGCAGUAUCACAUUCAGACUGAUGAGGGUCCGGAGAGAUUUUUUCGCUUUCAAACAUCGAACGGCCAGUAUAGGAAAGAGAAAAGAUUGGCUGAUGGUACAGUGAUCGGCACUGAAGGCUGGCUAGACCCUCUUGGAUAUUUACGACUGAAGGAUUACAUCGCGGACCACGAGGGAUUUCGAAUUUUAAAGUCAAAAAUGGUUUACGUCGGUAAGGAUCGAUCUAUUCAAGACGCGAUGGCGGAAGCAAAGAAGACUCCAGCGCAGACUGGAAUUUUGGCCAGGCCCAAAAGGCCACCAAAUCCUUUCAGACGACCAGAUUCUAAUGCCAUCGUGCCGCUGUCUGGCAACGACAUCACUUCCGGUUAUUACGUUCCGACGACUAUCAGACCCCGACCGAUUUCGAGGAACAAUUAUUAUUCUAAUCGACCAGGCUACCCUUCUGAACUUCAGAGCCUGGACGUUUAUCAUCGACCACAUGCUACGUAUUAUCGCGAAUCUGCAGCUCGACCACCAACUCAGAUUCUCGAAGCUCCAUACGAUCCUGCUAUCGGAAGUUCCUCCCUCAAGCCAAGCUAUCAAUCGCCAAGCGUUUCUCAAAACGAUUUCCCGUUAUAUGACGGCACUCAUACUACAGCGAAUGGUUUCCAGUAUUAUUUAAGGAGGCAAUAUCAUGAGGAGGAAAGGGAGCCUGAAGGCAACAACGUCGGCUCUUUCGGUUACAUCGAUCCAUUUGGUAUUAGACGAGUGAUUUAUUAUAAAACGGAUCCGUUCUCCGGUGGAUUCCUCCAUAAAAAGAACAAUCGAUACGUCGGUUUCAACGCGACGCCAUACGAUCCACUUCCGCCUGAUCUGUCCAGGACACGGCUCUCGAGAGCCCUCCCAACGAGCGCUUCGUAACAGUUCCGUCAUUAUUCAUUGCUUUGCCACGUUGUAGCAUCACGUUUUAUCGCGAAGAGUUCAUCAUCCAAUAUCGCGUCGACGCUGGGUUUCGCUACGCUGGACGGCCUUGGUUCGAUUCCGAUGAUCUCGACAGCGAGACCAUUUAUCGAAUCGAACUGCCGUCUGUUAUCGAUGUUCUCUUAAGCAAUCUUUGAUCGUGAAUUUUCUAGUCAGGAUGGAACCAACAGAUACUGUUAAAAGGAGAAAGAACAAUGAUGAAUAGAGACGGUCUCGUAAAUAUUAAAGAUCGUUUAUAUUCUAAGAUAGAUAAAAAUUCUCCGGCAGGGAUUCUCGAUCACCAACGUUGCUUAUGUAUAAUAUAUAGAUAUAACGUUUCUCAAAGUGCCACAACUAAUAUUCUUUUGAUGUACGACUUCGUUGUGUCAGUAUCGCCAACGAUUCCCAAUAUUAUUCGAGAUGAUGUAACAUUAUACGAGGGUCGAUCGAACCAGGAGACUAUCGAAAUACAGAUAAAAAGGUUCCAACGGAGAAUUAGAGAUAAGGAUUGUGCGAAAUUAACACAAUGACUUUCGUCAUCGAGAAGGCGGUGGCUUCCUGAUUCGUCGUCCUGUCUUUGUUCUGCUAUUAUCGCGAGUAGAUGAUCGGAUACCACAAAGAGACAACGUUAGAUGCCAUGCUGGACUAUAACUCAAUUUUCAGGGAAGCACAGUGGGACUUUCCUUGAAAAAAAAAUUGUAGAACGCGUCGGACAAUGUUCGCGAACCUUUCCAAUUGCGUCACCGAUCUCUAAGAAACGUGCGAAGACUCGCGACCGCCAUUGUCCUCAUACGCAAUUCACAUAAAUAAGUUUUCGAGUGACAAUCGAUCCCAGAGCAAUCGAUCUAUGGGCCCAAAGUCAACAGCUUUGACAUUAGAUCCAAUUUUUAUUGGAUUUGAAAUUCAAAUACAAUCUGUUAUAAAAUAUA